AUUACCCUAGUAACGGCGAGUGAAGCGGGAACAGCUCAAAUUUGAAAUCUGGCCUUCGGGUCCGAAUUGUAAUUUGCAGAGGAUGCUUUUGGUUAGGUACUUUCCGAGUUCCUUGGAACGGGACGCCUUACAGGGUGAGAGGCCGGUACGGUUGGAUACCGAGCCCUUGUAAAGCUCCUUCGACGAGUCGAGUAGUUUGGGAAUGCUGCUCUAAAUGGGAGGUAGAUUUCUUCUAAAGCUAAAUACCGGCCAGAGACCGAUAGCGCACAAGUAGAGUGAUCGAAAGAUGAAAAGCACUUUGAAAAGAGGGUUAAAUAGCACGUGAAAUUGUUGAAAGGGAAGCGUUUAUGACCAGACUUUUUCGAGGCGAAUCAUCCGGUGUUCUCGCCGGUGCACUUCGUCUGGUUGAGGCCAGCAUCGGUCUUCGUGGGGGGAUAAAAGCGGUGGGAAUGUGACUCCUCCGGGAGUGUUAUAGCCCGCCGUAUAAUACCUCCAUGGGGACCGAGGUUCGCGCUCUGCAAGGAUGCUGGCGUAAUGGUCAUCAACGACCCGUCUUGAAACACGGACCAAGGAGUCGAACAUUUGUGCGAGUGUUUGGGUGUUAAACCCUCACGCGUAAUGAAAGUGAACGGAGGUGAGAGCCCUUACGGGUGCAUCAUCGACCGAUCCUGAUGUUUUCGGAUGGAUUUGAGUAAGAGCAUAACUGUUCGGACCCGAAAGAUGGUGAACUAUGCGUGGAUAGGGUGAAGCCAGAGGAAACUCUGGUGGAGGCUCGCAGCGGUUCUGACGUGCAAAUCGAUCGUCAAAUCUGCGCAUGGGGGCGAAAGACU
rnacentral:rRNA from 1 species